UACGAAGGGGGCUAGCGUUGCUCGGAAUCACUGGGCGUAAAGCGCACGUAGGCGGCUUCUUAAGUCAGGGGUGAAAUCCUGGAGCUCAACUCCAGAACUGCCUUUGAUACUGAGGAGCUUGAGUCCGGGAGAGGUGAGUGGAACUGCGAGUGUAGAGGUGAAAUUCGUAGAUAUUCGCAAGAACACCAGUGGCGAAGGCGGCUCACUGGCCCGGGACUGACGCUGAGGUGCGAAAGCGUGGGGAGCAAACAGG
rnacentral:rRNA from 1 species